CUCAGUUCAAACUCACGAGAUGUGAGCUUUGGUCACGGAGGCCCUUGCUUCUCUUUGAGAAAGCUACUCAAAGAAAUGAUCUCUUCCUGGAUGUUGUGGUCCACGAAUAUUAUGUCUGGAACAUCAGAGCCAUCUUGUCUCCAUGAUGGGAGUUCCAUCUAAAGACAAAGUCAAAACCCAGCAGAGGACACAGCUGAAGGAACAGGAGAAAGUGGCAUGGAAACGCUGGAGCCCCAGCACCGGCAGACCUCAGUUAUUGGGGCCAAUCAACCUCUUGUUACUGUUCAAGCGAGUUUGGAAACGUUGUCAGAGACCCACAACAGAAAACAACUCAAACAGCGUCCGAAGAAAACAUUUAGAAUAACUGGAGAAUUGAAUAUGUUCUUCAAGCAUUUCUACGCAUUUACUAGUUCUCAUAAUGAGGCUAUUAUUGAGAAGUUAUACAACAAAUGGUUGAAGUUGUCAUUUCUGCCAAGAACCUGCAGUGCAGAUAUGGAAGAAACAGAGGUCAUACCUAAAGACUCCUACAUGGCUUUGAUGACAUAA
rnacentral:lncRNA from 1 species